UACGUAGGGUGCAAGCGUUAAUCGGAAUUACUGGGCGUAAAGCGUGCGCAGGCGGUGAUGUAAGUCAGGUGUGAAAUCCCCGGGCUUAACCUGGGAACUGCAUUUGUGACUGCAUCGCUGGAGUGCGGCAGAGGGGGAUGGAAUUCCGCGUGUAGCAGUGAAAUGCGUAGAUAUGCGGAGGAACACCGAUGGCGAAGGCGAUCCCCUGGGCCUGCACUGACGCUCAUGCACGAAAGCGUGGGGAGCAAGCAGG
rnacentral:rRNA from 1 species